rnacentral:rRNA from 1 species
AGAACGAACGCUGGCGGCAGGCCUAACACAUGCAAGUCGAACGCCCCGCAAGGGGAGUGGCAGACGGGUGAGUAACACGUGGGAACAUACCCUUCGGUUCGGAAUAACUCAGGGAAACUUGAGCUAAUACCGGAUACGUCCUGGCGGAGAAAGAUUUAUCGCCGAAGGAUUGGCCCGCGUCCGAUUAGCUAGUUGGUGAGGUAAUGGCUCACCAAGGCGACGAUCGGUAGCUGGUCUGAGAGGAUGAUCAGCCACAUUGGGACUGAGACACGGCCCAAACUCCUACGGGAGGCAGCAGUGGGGAAUAUUGGACAAUGGGCGCAAGCCUGAUCCAGCCAUGCCGCGUGAGUGAUGACGGCCUUAGGGUUGUAAAGCUCUUUCGUCAGGGACGAUAAUGACGGUACCUGAAGAAGAAGCCCCGGCUAACUUCGCGCCAGCAGCCGC